rnacentral:rRNA from 1 species
AUGAACGCUAGCGACAGGCUUAACACAUGCAAGUCGAGGGGCAGCACAGGUAGCAAUACCGGGUGGCGACCGGCGCACGGGUGAGUAACGCGUAUGCAACUUGCCUAUCAGAGGGGGAUAACCCGGCGAAAGUCGGACUAAUACCGCAUGAAGCAGGGGCCCCGCAUGGGGAUAUUUGCUAAAGAUUCAUCGCUGAUAGAUAGGCAUGCGUUCCAUUAGGCAGUUGGCGGGGUAACGGCCCACCAAACCGACGAUGGAUAGGGGUUCUGAGAGGAAGGUCCCCCACAUUGGUACUGAGACACGGACCAAACUCCUACGGGAGGCAGCAGUGAGGAAUAUUGGUCAAUGGGCGUAAGCCUGAACCAGCCAAGUCGCGUGAGGGAUGAAGGUUCUAUGGAUCGUAAACCUCUUUUAUAAGGGAAUAAAGUGCGGGACGUGUCCCGUUUUGUAUGUACCUUAUGAAUAAGGAUCGGCUAACUCCGUGCCAGCAGCCGCGGUAAUACGGAGGAUCCGAGCGUUAUCCGGAUUUAUUGGGUUUAAAGGGUGCGUAGGCUGCCUUUUAAGUCAGCGGUGAAAGUCUGUGGCUCAACCAUAGAAUUGCCGUUGAAACUGGGGGGCUUGAGUAUGUUUGAGGCAGGCGGAAUGCGUGGUGUAGCGGUGAAAUGCAUAGAUAUCACGCAGAACCCCGAUUGCGAAGGCAGCCUGCCAAGCCAUUACUGACGCUGAUGCACGAAAGCGUGGGGAUCAAACAGGAUUAGAUACCCUGGUAGUCCACGCAGUAAACGAUGAUCACUAGCUGUUUGCGAUACACUGUAAGCGGCACAGCGAAAGCGUUAAGUGAUCCACCUGGGGAGUACGCCGGCAACGGUGAAACUCAAAGGAAUUGACGGGGGCCCGCACAAGCGGAGGAACAUGUGGUUUAAUUCGAUGAUACGCGAGGAACCUUACCCGGGCUUAAAUUGCAUUUGAAUAAUCUGGAAACAGGUUAGCCGCAAGGCAAAUGUGAAGGUGCUGCAUGGUUGUCGUCAGCUCGUGCCGUGAGGUGUCGGCUUAAGUGCCAUAACGAGCGCAACCCUUGCCACUAGUUACUAACAGGUAAAGCUGAGGACUCUGGUGGGACUGCCAGCGUAAGCUGCGAGGAAGGCGGGGAUGACGUCAAAUCAGCACGGCCCUUACAUCCGGGGCGACACACGUGUUACAAUGGCGUGGACAAAGGGAGGCCACCUGGCGACAGGGAGCGAAUCCCCAAACCACGUCUCAGUUCGGAUCGGAGUCUGCAACCCGACUCCGUGAAGCUGGAUUCGCUAGUAAUCGCGCAUCAGCCAUGGCGCGGUGAAUACGUUCCCGGGCCUUGUACACACCGCCCGUCAAGCCAUGGGAGCCGGGGGUACCUGAAGUCCGUAACCGAAAGGAUCGGCCUAGGGUAAAACUAGUGACUGGGGCU